rnacentral:ncRNA from 1 species
AAAGACUUAGUCCUAACCUUACUGUUGGUUGUUGCUAGGUUUAUACAUGCGAGUAUCCGCGAUCCAGUGAAGAUGCCCUAGGUCCCCUAAUCUUAGGUCGAUAGGAGCGAGCAUCAGGCACACCCACCCUCAACCGUAGCCCAAGACGCUUAGCAAUUGCCACACCCCCACGGGCAUUCAGCAGUAACUAAUAUUAAGCAAUGAGUGCAAACUUGACUUAGCCAUAGCAAUCUAAGGGGCGGUAAAUCCUGUGCCAGCCACCGCGGUCAUACAGGAGACCCAAAUUAACAUUAUAACGGCGUAAAGCGUGGUCAUAUGUUAUCCAAGUAACUAAGAUUAAAAAGCAACUGAGUCGUCACAAACCAAAGAUGCGUACAAGGCCUCUAUUCAAAGAAGAUCUUAGACUAACGAUUAAUUAAAGCCACGAAAGCCAGGACCCAAACUGGGAUUAGAUACCCCACUAUGCCUGGCCCUAAAUCUUGAUGCUCGAUCUAACCGGAGCAUCCGCCCGAGAACUACGAGCACAAACGCUUAAAACUCUAAGGACUUGGCGGUGCUCCAAACCCACCUAGAGGAGCCUGUUCUGUAAUCGAUAAUCCACGAUGCACCCGACCAUCCCUCGCUCAAUUCAGCCUAUAUACCGCCGUCUCCAGCCCACCCUCCAUGAAGGCCCAGCAGUGGACGCAAUAGCCAUACCACGCUAACAAGACAGGUCAAGGUAUAGCCUAUGAGAUGGAAGCAAUGGGCUACAUUUUCUAGAUUAGAACACAACGGCAAAGGCACAUGAAAUUGUACCUCGAAGGCGGAUUUAGCAGUAAAGAGGGAUUAGCGAGCCCUCUUUAAGCCGGCUCUGGAGUGCGUACAUACCGCCCGUCACCCUCUUCAAAAGCGACCCCCAACCCCAUAAAUAAUAAGUUUCUCAGCCAAAGAAGAGGUAAGUCGUAACAAGGUAAGUGUACCGGAAGGUGUACUUAGGACAC